AUGAUUCAGCAGCACAGAUACUAAAACUGGAAUGAUACAGAAAAGAUUAGCAUGUCCUUGGUGCGAGGAUGAUACACAAUGAAUAAAUAUUUGAUUGACCUUUUU